rnacentral:rRNA from 1 species
GACGAGGGAUCCUAGCGUUGUUCGGAAUUAUUGGGCGUAAAGCGGGUGUAGGCGGGCUUCUAAGUCGGGUGUGAAAUCCCCGGGCUCCAACCUGGGAAUUGCAUUCGAUACUGGAUAGCUAGAGUUCGGCAGAGGGAAGCGGAAUUUCCGGUGUAGCGGUGAAAUGCGUAGAUAUCGGGAAGAACACCCGUGGCGAAGGCGGCUCUCUCGGGAGCGGUACUGACGCUGAGACGCGAAAGCGUGGGGAGCAAACAGG